UACGUAGGGUGCAAGCGUUAAUCGGAAUUACUGGGCGUAAAGCGUGCGCAGGCGGUUUUGUACGUUUGUCGUGAAAUCCCCGGGCUCAACCUGGGAAUUGCGAUGAAGACUGCAAGGCUAGAAUCUGGCAGAGGGGGGUAGAAUUCCACGUGUAGCAGUGAAAUGCGUAGAGAUGUGGAGGAACACCGAUGGCGAAGGCAGCCCCCUGGGUCAAGAUUGACGCUCAUGCACGAAAGCGUGGGGAGCAAACAGG
rnacentral:rRNA from 1 species